GACGAACGCUGGCGGCGUGCUUAACACAUGCAAGUCGAGCGGAAAGGCCCUUCGGGGUACUCGAGCGGCGAACGGGUGAGUAACACGUGAGUAACCUGCCCCAGACUUUGGGAUAACCCUCGGAAACGGGGGCUAAUACCGGAUACGACACAGCUUCGCAUGGGGUCUGUGUGGAAAGUUUUUCGGUUUGGGAUGGGCUCGCGGCCUAUCAGCUUGUUGGUGGGGUGAUGGCCUACCAAGGCGACGACGGGUAGCCGGCCUGAGAGGGCGACCGGCCACACUGGGACUGAGACACGGCCCAGACUCCUACGGGAGCCAGCAGUGGGGAAUAUUGCACAAUGGGCGGAAGCCUGAUGCAGCGACGCCGCGUGAGGGAUGACGGCCUUCGGGUUGUAAACCUCUUUCAGCAGGGACGAAGCGUAAGUGACGGUACCUGCAGAAGAAGCGCCGGCCAACUACGUG
rnacentral:rRNA from 1 species